GGUCGGUUAGCUCAGUUGGUUAGAGCGUGGUGCUAAUAUCUGCUCUGAUAUAUCUGGCACGCCAAGGUCGCGGGUUCGACCCCCGUACUGACCA
rnacentral:tRNA from 1 species